rnacentral:rRNA from 1 species
CAAACACUCUCGGCAACGGAUAUCUCGGCUCACGCAUCGAUGAAGAACGUAGCAAAAUGCGAUACUUGGUGUGAAUUGCAGAAUCCCGUGAACCAUCGAGUUUUUGAACGCAAGUUGCGCCCGAAGCCUUUUGGCCAAGGGCACGUCUGCCUGGGCGUCACACAUCGCGUCGCCCCCCGCAACACCUCUUGAUGGGGAUGUUUGAAUGGGGGGGCGGAGAUUGGUCUCCCGUUCCUAAGGU